rnacentral:rRNA from 1 species
AACGAACGCUGGCGGCAGGCCUAACACAUGCAAGUCGAGCGAAGCCUUCGGGCUUAGCGGCGGACGGGUGAGUAACGCGUGGGAACGUGCCCUUUGGUACGGAAUAGCCCCGGGAAACUGGGAGUAAUACCGUAUGUGGUCGAGAGACGAAAGAUUUAUCGCCAAAGGAUCGGCCCGCGUUGGAUUAGGUAGUUGGUGGGGUAAUGGCCUACCAAGCCGACGAUCCAUAGCUGGUUUGAGAGGAUGAUCAGCCACACCGGGACUGAGACACGGCCCAGACUCCUACGGGAGGCAGCAGUGGGGAAUCUUAGACAAUGGGGGAAACCCUGAUCUAGCCAUGCCGCGUGAUCGAUGAAGGCCUUAGGGUUGUAAAGAUCUUUCAGUGGGGAAGAUAAUGACUGUACCCACAGAAGAAGCCCCGGCUAACUCCGUGCCAGCAGCCGCCGUAAGAC